rnacentral:rRNA from 1 species
UGGGGAAUAUUCCGCAAUGGACGAAAGUCUGACGGAGCAACGCCGCGUGAGUGAUGAAGGUUUUCGGACUGUAAAGCUCUGUUGUUUAGGACGAAAGUGCCUGUUGCGAACAGUUACAGGUAUUGACGGUACUAAACGAGGAAGCCACGGCUAACUACGUGCCAGCAGCCGCGGUAAUACGCAGGUGGCAAGCGUUGCCCGGAAUUAUUGGGCGUAAAGAGCAUGUAGGCGGAGAUUUAAGUCUGUUGUGAAAAUGCGGGGCUCAACCCCGUAUUGCGAUGGAAACUGAAUUUCUUGAGUGCAGGAGAGGAAAGGGGAAUUCCCAGUGUAGCGGUGAAAUGCGUAGAUAUUGGGAGGAACACCAGUGGCGAAGGCGCCUUUCUGGACUGUGUCUGACGCUGAGAUGCGAAAGCCAGGGUAGCGAACG